AAUGAACGUUGGCGGCGUGGAUUAGGCAUGCAAGUCGAGCGAGAACCCCGCAAGGGGGGACAGCGGCGAAAGGGACAGUAAUGUGUAGAUUAUCUGCCCUCGGGUCCGGGAUAGCUGCGGGAAACUGCAGGUAAUACCGGAUAACAUCUCCGGAUCAAAGGUGUGAUUCCGCCCGAGGAUGAGUCUACAUCCUAUUAGCUAGUUGGUAGGGUAACGGCCUACCAAGGCGAUGAUGGGUAGCGGGUGUGAGAGCACGACCCGCGUCAUUGGGACUGAGACACUGCCCAGACACCUACGGGUGGCUGCAGUCGAGAAUCUUCGGCAAUGGGCGCAAGCCUGACCGAGCGACGCCGCGUGUGGGAUGAAGGCCUUCGGGUUGUAAACCACUGUCAGAGGGGAUGAAAUGCAGGUGGGUUCUCCCAUCUGUUUGACAUAGCCUCAGAGGAAGGACGGGCUAAGUUCGUG
rnacentral:rRNA from 1 species